rnacentral:tRNA from 1 species
GCGCCCAUAGCUCAGUGGUAGAGCGUCACAUUGACAUUGUGAAGGUCCAAGGUUCGAUCCCUUGUGCGCGCACAA